UAUUACAAUGAAGAGUUUGAUCCUGGCUCAGGAUGAACGCUAGCUACAGGCUUAACACAUGCAAGUCGAGGGGCAGCAUGGUCUUAGCUUGCUAAGGCCGAUGGCGACCGGCGCACGGGUGAGUAACACGUAUCCAACCUGCCGUCUACUCUUGGACAGCCUUCUGAAAGGAAGAUUAAUACAAGAUGGCAUCAUGAGUCCGCAUGUUCACAUGAUUAAAGGUAUUCCGGUAGACGAUGGGGAUGCGUUCCAUUAGAUAGUAGGCGGGGUAACGGCCCACCUAGUCUUCGAUGGAUAGGGGUUCUGAGAGGAAGGUCCCCCACAUUGGAACUGAGACACGGUCCAAACUCCUACGGGAGGCAGCAGUGAGGAAUAUUGGUCAAUGGGCGAGAGCCUGAACCAGCCAAGUAGCGUGAAGGAUGACUGCCCUAUGGGUUGUAAACUUCUUUUAUAAAGGAAUAAAGUCGGGUAUGGAUACCCGUUUGCAUGUACUUUAUGAAUAAGGAUCGGCUAACUCCGUGCCAGCAGCCGCGGUAAUACGGAGGAUCCGAGCGUUAUCCGGAUUUAUUGGGUUUAAAGGGAGCGUAGAUGGAUGUUUAAGUCAGUUGUGAAAGUUUGCGGCUCAACCGUAAAAUUGCAGUUGAUACUGGAUAUCUUGAGUGCAGUUGAGGCAGGCGGAAUUCGUGGUGUAGCGGUGAAAUGCUUAGAUAUCACGAAGAACUCCAAUUGCGAAGGCAGCCUGCUAAGCUGCAACUGACAUUGAGGCUCGAAAGUGUGGGUAUCAAACAGGAUUAGAUACCCUGGUAGUCCACACGGUAAACGAUGAAUACUCGCUGUUUGCGAUAUACUGCAAGCGGCCAAGCGAAAGCGUUAAGUAUUCCACCUGGGGAGUACGCCGGCAACGGUGAAACUCAAAGGAAUUGACGGGGGCCCGCACAAGCGGAGGAACAUGUGGUUUAAUUCGAUGAUACGCGAGGAACCUUACCCGGGCUUAAAUUGCAGAUGAAUUACGGUGAAAGCCGUAAGCCGCAAGGCAUCUGUGAAGGUGCUGCAUGGUUGUCGUCAGCUCGUGCCGUGAGGUGUCGGCUUAAGUGCCAUAACGAGCGCAACCCUUGUUGUCAGUUACUAACAGGUUCCGCUGAGGACUCUGACAAGACUGCCAUCGUAAGAUGUGAGGAAGGUGGGGAUGACGUCAAAUCAGCACGGCCCUUACGUCCGGGGCUACACACGUGUUACAAUGGGGGGUACAGAGGGCCGCUACCACGCGAGUGGAUGCCAAUCCCCAAAACCUCUCUCAGUUCGGACUGGAGUCUGCAACCCGACUCCACGAAGCUGGAUUCGCUAGUAAUCGCGCAUCAGCCACGGCGCGGUGAAUACGUUCCCGGGCCUUGUACACACCGCCCGUCAAGCCAUGGGAGCCGGGGGUACCUGAAGUGCGUAACCGCGAGGAGCGCCCUAGGGUAAAACUGGUGACUGGGGCUAAGUCGUAACAAGGUAGCCGUACCGGAAGGUGCGGCUGGAACACCUCCUUUCU
rnacentral:rRNA from 1 species